GUGGGGAAUAUUGGACAAUGGGCGCAAGCCUGAUCCAGCCAUGCCGCGUGAGUGAUGAAGGCCUUAGGGUUGUAAAGCUCUUUUGUCCGGGAAGAUAAUGACUGUACCGGAAGAAUAAGCCCCGGCUAACUUCGUUCCAGCAGCCGCGGUAAUACGAAGGGGGCUAGCGUUUUUCGGAAUCACUGGGCGUAAAGCGCACGUAGGCGGACCAUUAAGUUCGUGGUGAAAGCCUGGAGCUCAACUCCAGAACUGACUUUGAUACUGAUGGUCUCGAGUAUGGAAGAGGUUGGUGGAACUGCGAGUGUAGAGGUGAAAUUAGUAGAUAUUCGCAAGAACACCGGUGGCGAAGGCGGCCAACUGGUCCAUUACUGACGCUGAGGUGCGAAAGCGUGGGGAGCAAACAGGAUUAGAAACCCUGGUAGUCC
rnacentral:rRNA from 1 species